CGCGGCCUAUCAGCUUGUUGGUGGGGUAAUGGCCUACCAAGGCGUCGACGGGUAGCCGGCCUGAGAGGGUGUACGGCCACAUUGGGACUGAGAUACGGCCCAGACUCCUACGGGAGGCAGCAGUGGGGAAUAUUGCACAAUGGGCGCAAGCCUGAUGCAGCGACGCCGCGUGGGGGAUGACGGCCUUCGGGUUGUAAACUCCUUUCGCCAAAGACGAAUGUGGACGGUAUUUGGAGAAGAAGCACCGGCUAACUACGUGCCAGCAGCCGCGGUAAUACGUAGGGUGCGAGCGUUGUCCGGAAUUACUGGGCGUAAAGAGCUCGUAGGUGGUUUGUCGCGUCGUUUGUGGAAGUCCACGGCUUAACUGUGGGACUGCAGGCGAUACGGGCAUAACUUGAGUGCUGUAGGGGAGACUGGAAUUCCUGGUGUAGCGGUGAAAUGCGCAGAUAUCAGGAGGAACACCGAUGGCGAAGGCAGGUCUCUGGGCAGUAACUGACGCUGAGGAGCGAAAGCAUGGGGAGCGAACAGGAUUAGAUACCCUGGUAGUCCAUGCCGUAAACGGUGGGCGCUAGGUGUGAGUCCCUUCCACGGGGUUCGUGCCGUAGCUAACGCAUUAAGCGCCCCGCCUGGGGAGUACGG
rnacentral:rRNA from 1 species